rnacentral:rRNA from 1 species
GACGAACGCUGGCGGCGUGCUUAACACAUGCAAGUCGAGCGGUAAGGCCCCUUCGGGGGUACACGAGCGGCGAACGGGUGAGUAACACGUGAGCAAUCUGCCCUUCACUUUGGGAUAACCCUCGGAAACGAGAGCUAAUACCGAAUACGACCACUUCCGGCAUCGGAGGGUGGGGGAAAGUUCCGGCGGUGAAGGAUGAGCUCGCGGCCUAUCAGCUUGUUGGUGGGGUAAUGGCCCACCAAGGCUUCGACGGGUAGCCGGCCUGAGAGGGUGACCGGCCACACUGGGACUGAGACACGGCCCAGACUCCUACGGGAGGCAGCAGUGGGGAAUAUUGGACAAUGGGCGAAAGCCUGAUCCAGCAACGCCGCGUGAGGGAUGACGGCCUUCGGGUUGUAAACCUCUUUCAGCAGGGACGAAGCGCAAGUGACGGUACCUGCAGAAGAAGCACCGGCCAACUACGUGCCAGCCGCCGCGGUAAUAC